rnacentral:rRNA from 1 species
CCUACGGGGGGCUGCAGUCGAGAAUCUUCCACAAUGGGCGAAAGCCUGAUGGAGCGACGCCGCGUGCAGGAUGAAGGCCUUCGGGUCGUAAACUGCUUUUAUAGGGGACGAAUUAGUGACGGUACCCUAAGAAUAAGAGGUUGCUAACUCUGUGCCAGCAGCAGCGGUAAUACAGAGACCUCAAGUGUUAUCCGGAUUUAUUGGGCGUAAAGCGUCCGCAGAUUGUUUGACGGGUCAGGGGUUAAAAUCCAAUGCUUAACAUUGGAAUUGCCUUUGAAACUAUCAAGCUAGAGGGUGGAAGAGGUAAGCGGAAUUGCAGGUGUAGUCGUAAUAAGCGUUGAUAUCUGCAAGAACACCAAAGGCGAAGGCAGCUUACUGGUACACUUCUGACGUUCAUGGACGAAAGCGUGGGGAGCAAACAGGAUUAGAUACCCCUGUAGUC